rnacentral:rRNA from 1 species
UACGUAGGGUGCGAGCGUUAAUCGGAAUUACUGGGCGUAAAGCGUGCGCAGGCUGUUUUGUAAGUCAGAUGUGAAAUCCCCGAGCUCAACUUGGGAACUGCGUUUGAAACUACAAGACUAGAAUAUGUCAGAGGGGGGUAGAAUUCCACGUGUAGCAGUGAAAUGCGUAGAGAUGUGGAGGAAUACCAAUGGCGAAGGCAGCCCCCUGGGAUGAUACUGACGCUCAUGCACGAAAGCGUGGGGAGCAAACAGG